rnacentral:rRNA from 1 species
GGAGUUAGCCGGUGCUUCUUCUGUGAGUGAUGUCCUUCCUGCCGGCUAUUAACCCGCAGGCCUUCUUCCUCACUGAAAGUGCUUUACAACCCGAAGGCCUUCUUCACACACGCGGCAUGGCUGGAUCAGGGUUGCCCCCAUUGUCCAAUAUUCCCCACUGCUGCCUCCCGUAGGAGUCUGGGCCGUGUCUCAGUCCCAGUGUGGCUGAUCAUCCUCUCAGACCAGCUACGGAUCGUCGCCUUGGUGAGCCGUUACCUCACCAACCAGCUAAUCCGACAUAGGCUCAUCCGAUAGCGCGAGGCCCGAAGGUCCCCCGCUUUCCCCCGUAGGGCGUAUGCGGUAUUAGCCUGGGUUUCCCCAGGUUAUCCCCCACUACCGGGCAGAUUCCUAUGCAUUACUCACCCGUCCGCCUCUCGCCACCAGGGAGCAAGCUCCCCGUGCUGCCGCUCGACUUGCAUGUGUUAGGCCUGCCGCCAGCGUUCAAUCUGAGCCAUGAUCAAACUCUGA